rnacentral:rRNA from 1 species
AUUGAACGCUGGCGGCAGGCCUAACACAUGCAAGUCGAGCGGAUGAAGGGAGCUUGCUCCUGGAUUCAGCGGCGGACGGGUGAGUAAUGCCUAGGAAUCUGCCUGGUAGUGGGGGAUAACGUCCGGAAACGGGCGCUAAUACCGCAUACGUCCUGAGGGAGAAAGUGGGGGAUCUUCGGACCUCACGCUAUCAGAUGAGCCUAGGUCGGAUUAGCUAGUUGGUGGGGUAAAGGCCUUCCAAGGCGACGAUCCGUAACUGGUCUGAGAGGAUGAUCAGUCACACUGGAACUGAGACACGGUCCAGACUCCUACGGGAGGCAGGAGUGGGGAAUAUUGGACAAUGGGCGAAAGCCUGAUCCAGCCAUGCCGCGUGUGUGAAGAAGGGCUUCGGAUUGUAAAGCACUUUAAGUUGGGAGGAAGGGCAGUAAGUUAAUACCUUGCUGUUUUGACGUUACCAACAGAAUAAGCACCGGCUAACUUCGU